CAUACUAUUCUCAAGCCUUCGACAUAUUAUUCUCAAGUCGAGAUCAUUUUUAAUUUCUUAAAUAUGUUUUAUUCUAUUUUUACUUUUAGCGCUACUUAGGUGGGUAGCGCUACAACGACGUGAAUAACAUUUGUUUUGUUUGUAAACAGUACGUGUUUCUAAAAAUAUGAAGCCUCUUCUCUGCUCACAUAUGUAUAAAGUUCAUCUAUCACAUCUGAAUGUACACAGUGUCGAAAAAUUACGCUCAAUUAAUGAAACUUCUUUUGUUAAUAACUUUUUAACAAAUAUCGAGUGACAGUUAAAAACUUUUGCAUAUUGCUCAGAAUGAUGUCAUUGACAACAUAUGUUAAGGUCAGUGUCAUUGGAGAAACGAUGGGAUGUUACAGACGUUGGAGACGUUCUUAGUGGACGAACGAAAUCGUGCUAAGUUGCUUGGUGCUUGAAUUUGCGGAAAUAUUCAGUUGGCUUGGUAGAAGAAACAAAUAAUAGUUUUCCGAACUGCGCUUUUGUACAAUUGUAAUAGACGUGUUUCAACAAUAGUUUCAACAAAUUUUAAGCCACUAAUGCACUGAUUUGCACCUUUGUUAAAUAGUGGUUACGUCACGCGCCUGAGAAAUGCGGCAAAAGUAUAGAAGUUGCAGCAGCUCCUCGUGAUAAUAUCGACAAUGAAGGCUAAUUUCGUCGAAGCAGUAUAUAUAUCGCUAAACACAUAAAUGCUUAACGUCCUUUUUAGUUGUUAUAGAUUUUUAUUAGUUAUAUAGUUUCUAUGGCCUGUACGUUAUUGUGUCCUCAUAACAAACCAAUUUAUUCAAAUAAUUUUCUAUGAUUAAGAUUCUUAGAUACUCAAAGACUAACGAAGUCUUGUCAGAAGAAAUCCUUACCUACAAUUCUUAUAGUAACAAGAAAUAUCCAUAAAAUGACAAUCCAUAAAACUUGUAAUUAAU